UGGCGGCAUGUUACAUCAUUCUAACGGUACAGGCGCUGCGAUCCUUCGGGGUGACCUUGGUGCUGACGAGUGGCGGACGGGGUGAGUAACGCGUAGGAAUCUGCCUGGCAGCGGGGGACAACUCCGGGAAACCGGAGCUAAUACCGCAUACGCCCUACGGGGGAAAGACGGGGAUCUUCGGACCUGUCACUGCCAGAUGAGCCUGCGUCGGAUUAGCUUGUUGGUGGGGUAACGGCCUACCAAGGCGACGAUCUGUAGCUGGUCUGAGAGGAUGACCAGUCACACUGGGACUGAGACACGGCCCAGACUCCUACGGGAGGCAGCAGUGGGGAAUAUUGGA
rnacentral:rRNA from 1 species